rnacentral:rRNA from 1 species
ACGCUCGACACCUACGGGAGGAGCAGUGGGGAAUAUUGCACAAUGGGGGAAACCCUGAUGCAGCGACGCCGCGUGGAGGAAGAAGGUCUUCGGAUUGUAAACUCCUGUUGUUGGGGAAAAAGAGGAUGGUACCCAACAAGGAAGUGACGGCUAACUACGUGCAGCAGCCGCGGUAAUCUGAGCGGGCUGGCAAGGC